rnacentral:sRNA from 1 species
UUUCUCUCCCAUUCCCAAAUCGAUUGCAUCGAUGCAGCGGCGGUAAGAUGCGAGACCUCACCAAGCUUCCGACCCCCUCCCCACCUCCCUCCCACUCCUCCCAGCACAUCCCGGCGGUGGAGGUGAUGGGGAGACGCGGCUUUGUCGGCGGCGGUGGAGGCGAUGGGGAGACGCAGCUUCAUCGGCGGUGGGGGCUUGUAUGCCUAAUUGCUUAUCAUUCCCGGAAGAUUUGAUGCGGUUGCUUGAUGCACGAGCCGCGUUGGUGAAGGCAAACAACACUGCAUUUCUUUUUUUUCUCUAGGUUCUUGCUAUGUUCAUGCACUGCUUUUCUUUUUUCUCUGGGUUCUUGCCAUGUUUAUGCUGUUGCCAGUAGUACUAGUAUUUUCUCAAUUGGAGAGAUUUUCUUUUUAAGUAUUUGCUUUCGGCAAUGGAAACUUUUGGCAUUUUUUAUUCUGCGUCAUAUGCUUCUGGCAUGUGUAAUCAAUAGAUGCAGAGAAAUGACAUAUGUAAUCAACAGAUGCAGAGAAAUGACAGUAAUAUAUGGAUGUUGUCACGGAGGGUAUUUUC